UACGAGGGGGGCAAGCGUUGUUCGGAAUUAUUGGGCGUAAAGGGUGCGUAGGCGGGCAGGUAAGUCCGUGGUGAAAUCUCUGAGCUUAACUCAGAAACUGCCAUGGAUACUAUUUGUCUUGAAUGUUGUGGAGGUAAGCGGAAUAUGUCAUGUAGCGGUGAAAUGCUUAGAUAUGACAUAGAACACCAAUUGCGAAGGCAGCUUACUACACAAAUAUUGACGCUGAGGCACGAAAGCGUGGGGAUCAAACAGG
rnacentral:rRNA from 1 species